GUAGGGAAUUUUGCGCAAUGGGGGAAACCCUGACGCAGCAACACCGCGUGAAUGUUAAGCCCUUCGGGGUGUAAAGUUCUGUCAGUGGGGAAGAAUAAUGACUGUACCCACAAAGGAAGCACCGGCUAACUCCGUGCCAGCAGCCGCGGUAAUACGGGGGGUGCAAGCGUUGUCCGGAAUCAUUGGGCGUAAAGCGUUCGUAGGCGGUAAAGUAAGUCAGAUGUUAAAGCCCGGGGCUCAACUCCGGUUCGGCAUUUGAUACUACUUAACUAGAAUGUGGUAGAGGUAAAGGGAAUUCCUGGUGUAGCGGUGAAAUGCGUAGAUAUCAGGAGGAACAUCGGUGGCGAAAGCGCUUUACUGGGCCAUUAUUGACGCUGAGGAACGAAAGCCAGGGGAGCAAAUGGGAUUAGAAACCCUUGUAGUCC
rnacentral:rRNA from 1 species